rnacentral:rRNA from 1 species
UUGACCUCGGAUCAGGUAGGGAUACCCGCUGAACUUAAGCAUAUCAAUAAGCGGAGGAAAAGAAACCAACAGGGAUUGCCCUAGUAACGGCGAGUGAAGCGGCAACAGCUCAAAUUUGAAAUCUGGCGUCUUCGGCGUCCGAGUUGUAAUUUGCAGAGGGCGCUUUGGCAUUGGCAGCGGUCCAAGUUCCUUGGAACAGGACGUCACAGAGGGUGAGAAUCCCGUACGUGGUCGCUAGCCUUUACCGUGUAAAGCCCCUUCGACGAGUCGAGUUGUUUGGGAAUGCAGCUCUAAAUGGGAGGUAAAUUUCUUCUAAAGCUAAAUACUGGCCAGAGACCGAUAGCGCACAAGUAGAGUGAUCGAAAGAUGAAAAGCACUUUGGAAAGAGAGUUAAAAAGCACGUGAAAUUGUUGAAAGGGAAGCGCUUGCAGCCAGACUUGCCUGUAGUUGCUCAUCCGGGUUUCUACCCGGUGCACUCUUCUACGGGCAGGCCAGCAUCAGUUUGGGCGGUUGGAUAAAGGUCUCUGUCAUGUACCUCUCUUCGGGGAGAACUUAUAGGGGAGACGACAUGCAACCAGCCUGGACUGAGGUCCGC